rnacentral:rRNA from 1 species
UACGGGGGGGGCAAGCGUUGUUCGGAAUUACUGGGCGUAAAGGGCUCGUAGGCGGCCAACUAAGUCAGACGUGAAAUCCCCAGGCUCAACCUGGGAACUGCGUCCGAUACUGGGGGGCUUGAAUCCGGGAGAGGGAUGUGGAAUUCCAGGUGUAGCGGUGAAAUGCGUAGAUAUCUGGAGGAACACCGGUGGCGAAGGCGGCAUCCUGGACCGGUAUUGACGCUGAGGCGCGGAAAGCUAGGGGAGCAAACGGGG